AGCGGGCGGUGCGCGCGGCGCUCAUCGAUUUUUCCACAAAACAACUCAUUUGAAUCCAUCACUGACAUUACAAACACGUUUAAAACAAACCGCAGACGUUCCGUACGCGUUUUACACGGUGUCAGUGGAAAAUGUGAGUGUUUUCCCGCGAAAAUAAUGCAACUCUCCCCGCGCGAGGAAAACUACUAUGGCCGCCCUGAAUAAAGCCGAGAGCGGCUCAGAGGAGAUGCCGACGGCCACAGCGUCUGACCCCAGCGCGGAGCAGAAGGACCGCCUCAUCGCCGCCGUCAAGAAGGAGGUCAAGCAGUUGAUGGAAGAGGCGGUGACACGCAAGUUCGUGCAUGAGGACAGCGGCGGAGUGACGGCGCUCUGCGGAGCUGUGG